AGUGAACGCUGGCGGCGUGCUUAACACAUGCAAGUCGAACGAGAAACGGAUUUAGCUUGCUAAAUUGCAGUCUAAGUGGCGCACGGGUGAGUAAUGUAUAGGUAAUAUGCCUCUUACUAAGGGAUAACAAUUGGAAACGAUUGCUAAUACCUUAUAUGCCUUUAAUACGACAGUAUGCAAGGGAAAGAUUUAUUGGUAAGAGAUUAGCCUGUAUGGUAUCAGCUUGUUGGUGAGGUGAUGGCUCGCCAAGGCUAUGACGCCUAACUGGUUUGAGAGGAUGGUCAGUCAGACUGGAACUGAGACACGGUUCAGACUCCUACGGGAGGCAGCAGUGGGGAAUAUUGCACAAUGGACGAAAGUCUGAUGCAGCAACGCCGCGUGGAGGAUGACACAUUUCGGUGCGUAAACUCCUUUUAUAUAGGAAGAUAAUGCCGGUACUAUAUGAAUAAGCACCGGCUAACUACGUGCCAGCCGCCGCGGUAA
rnacentral:rRNA from 1 species